GGGUGAGUAACACGUGGGCAACCUGCCCAAAAGAGGGGGAUAACACUUGGAAACAGGUGCUAAUACCGCAUAACCAUAGUUACCGCAUGGUAACUAUGUAAAAGGUGGCUAUACUACCGCUUUUGGAUGGGCCCGCGGCGCAUUAGCUAGUUGGUAGGGUAAAGGCUUACCAAGGCAAUGAUGCGUAGCCGAAUUGAGAGGUUGAUCGGCCACAUUGGGACUGAGACACGGCCCAAACUCCUACGGGAGGCAGCAGUAGGGAAUCUUCCACAAUGGGCGAAAGCCUGAUGGAGCAACGCCGCGUGGGUGAAGAAGGUCUUCGGAUCGUAAAACCCUGUUGUUAGAGAAGAAAGUGCGUGAGAGUAACUGUUCACGUUUCGACGGUAUCUAACCAGAAAGCCACGGCUAACUACGUGCCAGCAGCCGCGGUAAUACGUAGGUGGCAAGCGUUAUCCGGAUUUAUUGGGCGUAAAGGGAACGCAGGCGGUCUUUUAAGUCUGAUGUGAAAGCCUUCGGCUUAACCGGAGUAGUGCAUUGGAAACUGGGAGACUUGAGUGCAGAAGAGGAGAGUGAAACUCCAUGUGUAGCGGUGAAAUGCGUAGAUAUAUGGAAGAACACCAGUGGCGAAAGCGGCUCUCUGGUCUGUAACUGACGCUGAGGUUCGAAAGCGUGGGUAGCAAACAGGAUUAGAUACCCUGGUAGUCCACGCCGUAA
rnacentral:rRNA from 1 species